CCUACGGGUGGCUGCAGUGGGGAAUAUUGCACAAUGGGCGCAAGCCUGAUGCAGCCAUGCCGCGUGUGUGAAGAAGGCCUUCGGGUUGUAAAGCACUUUCAGCGGGGAGGAGGGCGGUGAGGUUAAUAACCUCAUCGAUUGACGUUACCCGCAGAAGAAGCACCGGCUAACUCCGUGCCAGCAGCCGCGGUAAUACGGAGGGUGCAAGCGUUAAUCGGAAUUACUGGGCGUAAAGCGCACGCAGGCGGUCUGUCAAGUCGGAUGUGAAAUCCCCGGGCUCAACCUGGGAACUGCAUUCGAAACUGGCAGGCUAGAGUCUUGUAGAGGGGGGUAGAAUUCCAGGUGUAGCGGUGAAAUGCGUAGAGAUCUGGAGGAAUACCGGUGGCGAAGGCGGCCCCCUGGACAAAGACUGACGCUCAGGUGCGAAAGCGUGGGGAGCAAACAGGAUUAGGUACCCCGGUAGUC
rnacentral:rRNA from 1 species